GCAUAGAUUUCAUCAACCUGGGAAUGGGAUGAUACAGAUUGGUGGUUGGCGUCGAUUUUGCUCGCUUCACUGUGUAACAUCGAGUCUCCACUGCCAGUCCUCUACGAUCUAACCAAUCAGGCCUCCAUCGACAAGGAAGGGUCCUCGACCGGAAUCUCCAUCAGGUUGCGUACUUGGACCG